CGCAAGGCCGUGGGUCUGUGGACGCUUCACGAAACCCUUUUCUCCCACCCGCAGCUAUGCAGCCCUUUCCACGUACGAUGAGAGAGAAAAUCGGCCAACCUCGAAACCAGCUGAUGACACAUAUUGAGCAAACGUACGGCUUAAGCUCUGGGACCGGGAACGUCCUGUGCUGUUCUGCCGUGUGUUCCGACACGUGCCAAGGGCCACAGCCGGGUCCUCUGUUGUCGGCUCUGCCCUGUUCUCUUGCAGUGAUGCGAGCUGCGUGGGGCCCAGCCACCCUCACGGCAAAUUUCCAGCAGUGCUCUUGCAGCCUUCUGGGGUCACCAGUCACCGUAUUUCCCGGUGUAUGAAACUCUAUGGCGGUGGUUCCCAACUGAGGGCAAUUUUGGCAACGUCUGAAGACCUUUUACCUUGACGCAAUUUGGUGUGUGUGGAGGGGGCAGGGGGGAGUGUCUCCUGGCAUCCAGUGGGUGGAUUAGACAGGGCUGCUGUUACAUACCUGACACACAGAGGACAGCCCCCACGACAGAGAAUUAUCUGGUCCCAAAUGUCCAUCGCGCCAACGCUGAGCAACUUUGGUCUAUACCACAGAGCUCUUGCGAGGACAAAUUUUGAAAGAAAACAUUCGCAAGGACUUCUCGUGAUAGAAUUAUUUAAAAUGACUUCGAAGGGGGCUGGCACUGAAAAUAUACUCUUUUCUCACGUGAGAAGAGUCAUUCUAUAGUGACACCCGGUUGUAACCUGCAGAUCUGUGUCCGUGGGGCCAUAGUCUAAGUACCAGCAUCACGUGGCUAAAAAGGAAUAAAUGGAGUUAAUGAAAAGAGGACCAUAGCAA